CAAGUCGAACGAUGAAGAGAGCUUGCUCUUGGAUUAGUGGCGAACGGGUGAGUAACACGUGAGUAACCUGCCCUUAACUCUGGGAUAAGCCUGGGAAACUGGGUCUAAUACCGGAUAUGACCUGUCAUCGCAUGGUGGUGGGUGGAAAGAUUUUUUGGUUUUGGAUGGACUCGCGGCCUAUCAGCUUGUUGGUGAGGUAAUGGCUUACCAAGGCGACGACGGGUAGCCGGCCUGAGAGGGUGACCGGCCACACUGGGACUGAGACACGGCCCAGACUCCUACGGGAGGCAGCAGUGGGGAAUAUUGCACAAUGGGCGCAAGCCUGAUGCAGCGACGCCGCGUGAGGGAUGAAGGCCUUCGGGUUGUAAACCUCUUUCAGUAGGGAAGAAGCGAAAGUGACGGUACCUGCAGAAGAAGCGCCGGCUAACUACGUGCCAGCAGCCGCGGUAAUACGUAGGGCGCAAGCGUUAUCCGGAAUUAUUGGGCGUAAAGAGCUCGUAGGCGGUUUGUCGCGUCUGCCGUGAAAGUCCGGGGCUCAACUCCGGAUCUGCGGUGGGUACGGGCAGACUAGAGUGCAGUAGGGGAGACUGGAAUUCCUGGUGUAGCGGUGAAAUGCGCAGAUAUCAGGAGGAACACCGAUGGCGAAGGCAGGUCUCUGGGCUGUAACUGACGCUGAGGAGCGAAAGCAUGGGGAGCGAACAGGAUUAGAUACCCUGGUAGUCCAUGCCGUAAACGUUGGGCACUAGGUGUGGGGGACAUUCCACGUUUUCCGCGCCGUAGCUAACGCAUUAAGUGCCCCGCCUGGGGAGUACGGCCGCAAGGCUAAAACUCAAAGGAA
rnacentral:rRNA from 1 species